AUGAUCCACGAGAUCAAGAGGACCAAGGACGCCGUCAAGUUCAAGGUGCACUGCUCUAGGUACCUCUACACCCUCUGUGUCCACAACACCGACAAGGCCAACAAGCUCAAGCAGUCCCUCCCCCCAGGCAGGUAUAUUCAAGACAAUAUAUCCCCUUCACCCAUCUCUUUAUCAUCACUCUGCUGUCUAGUGUUUGAUUGGCACAAUUAA
rnacentral:rRNA from 1 species